rnacentral:piRNA from 1 species
UGGGAUACCCGGCUUGACUUGAAAUCUGA